CGAACGCUGGCGGCGUGCCUAAUACAUGCAAGUAGAACGCUGAAGAGAGGAGCUUGCUCUUCUUGGAUGAGUUGCGAACGGGUGAGUAACGCGUAGGUAACCUGCCUUGUAGCGGGGGAUAACUAUUGGAAACGAUAGCUAAUACCGCAUAACAAUGGGUGACACAUGUCAUUUAUUUGAAAGGGGCAAUUGCUCCACUACAAGAUGGACCUGCGUUGUAUUAGCUAGUAGGUGAGGUAACGGCUCACCUAGGCGACGAUACAUAGCCGACCUGAGAGGGUGAUCGGCCACACUGGGACUGAGACACGGCCCAGACUCCUACGGGAGGCAGCAGUAGGGAAUCUUCGGCAAUGGGGGCAACCCUGACCGAGCAACGCCGCGUGAGUGAAGAAGGUUUUUCGGAUCGUAAAGCUCUGUUGUAAUUCCAAGAACGAGUGUGAGAGUGGAAAGUUCACACUUGUUGACGGUUAAGCUUUACCAGAAAAGGGACGGCUUAACUACGUGCCAACAGCCGGCGGUAAUACGUAGGUCCCGAGCGUUGUCCGGAUUUAUUGGGCGUAAAGCGAGCGCAGGCGGUUUGAUAAGUCUGAAGUUAAAGGCUGUGGCUCAACCAUAGUUCGCUUUGGAAACUGUCAAACUUGAGUGCAGAAGGGGAGAGUGGAAUUCCAUGUGUAGCGGUGAAAUGCGUAGAUAUAUGGAGGAACACCGGUGGCGAAAGCGGCUCUCUGGUCUGUAACUGACGCUGAGGCUCGAAAGCGUGGGGAGCGAACAGGAUUAGAUACCCUGGUAGUCCACGCCGUAAACGAUGAGCGCUCGGUGUUGGAUCCUUUCCGGGAUUCAGUGCCGCAGCUAACGCAUUAAGCACUCCGCCUGGGGAGU
rnacentral:rRNA from 1 species